rnacentral:rRNA from 1 species
AGAGUUUGAUCAUGGCUCAGAAUCAACGCUGGCGGCGUGCCUAACACAUGCAAGUCGAACGAGAAAGUGGAGCAAUCCAUGAGUAAAGUGGCGACCGGGUGAGUAACACGUGACUAAUCUACCCUUGAGUGGGGAAUAACCUUCCGAAAGGAGGGCUAAUACCGCAUAAGGUCCAGAGGCUGAAAUGCCAUUGGACCAAAGGAGCAAUUCGCUUAAGGAGGAGGUCGCGGUUGAUUAGCUAGUUGGUGGGGUAAUGGCCCACCAAGGCGAUGAUCAAUAGCCGGCCUGAGAGGGCGCACGGCCACACUGGAACUGAAACACGGUCCAGACUCCUACGGGAGGCAGCAGUGGGGAAUUUUGCGCAAUGGGGGAAACCCUGACGCAGCAACGCCGCGUGAAGGAUGAAGGUCUUUGGAUUGUAAACUUCUUUCGUCCGGGAAGAUAAUGACGGUACCGGAAUAAGAAGCCCCGGCUAACUUCGUGCCAGCAGCCGCGGUAAUACGAAGGGGGCGAGCGUUGUUCGGAAUUAUUGGGCGUAAAGGGAGCGUAGGCGGUUCGAUAAGUCACUUGUGAAAUCUCUGGGCUCAACUCAGAGUCUGCAAGCGAAACUGUCGGGCUUGAGUAUGGGAGAGGUGAGUGGAAUUCCUGGUGUAGCGGUGAAAUGCGUAGAUAUCAGGAGGAACACCUGUGGCGAAAGCGGCUCACUGGACCAUUACUGACGCUGAUGCUCGAAAGCUAGGGGAGCAAACAGGAUUAGAUACCCCCGUAGUCC